CCUUAGAGAAAUCAAGUAAACAUGAUAAUACAUCAUAUUAAAACAAAUCAAUAAUUUCCCAAUCAAUCAUCAAAUCUUAGACUGUUAUCACUGAUAUAGUGCGUGUGUGCUCCACAACAAUGUUAACUGAUAUAAAAUCAAAUUUAAGACAUAAUAGAUAUCUUUAAAGGCAUCAUACAGUGCAAAUUCACAAAAUUCACGAACAAGCUAUAUCCAACUAAAGUCAAACAUCCACCAAGUUCAAGAGUCCAAUCUGGGAUACUUAUGCUUUACUUUUUUUAACCAUAACUGUGCAAUGUCUCAUUCCAUUAGGCUAACAGUGUCACCCCUUAGCGAACUUUCGACCAACGACUCCCAGACCAUAUAAGACCUUAGGGCACUAGGUUUUAAGAUACCCCUUCGGGCGUACUUACUCAAGUAACAAAGGCCCCGAAACAAAACUAGCCAUGAUAAAUUUUUUUUUUUCUUUUUCUCUUUUUUUUAUAGAUGGUUGGUGAGUGCGUUUUACGCUCCAUCUCACGCUUGUGUUUAUGGGGAGUGUUUCUCCUCAACCCACCACAAGACUCAACAUGUUUUUUUUUUAAAGCUUAUAUACCCCAAAAUUUCCCCCCAAACUUAAGUUUUUAUCAAAAUUUAGCCAUCUCCGCCUAUUCAUGUCUUUCAUUCCUUCACACUAGUAUUAUACUUAAG
rnacentral:lncRNA from 1 species